UACGGAGGGUGCAAGCGUUGUUCGGAAUCAUUGGGCGUAAAGCGCGUGUAGGCGGCUUGGUAAGUCGGGUGUGAAAUCCCGGGGCCCAACCCCGGAACUGCAUUCGAAACUGCCUCGCUAGAGUCCCGGAGAGGAAGGCGGAAUUCCCGGUGUAGAGGUGAAAUUCGUAGAUAUUCGCAAGAACACCAGUGGCGAAGGCGGCUCACUGGCCCGUUACUGACGCUGAGGCACGAAAGCGUGGGGAGCAAACAGGG
rnacentral:rRNA from 1 species